rnacentral:rRNA from 1 species
CAGCCGCCGCGGGAACACGUAGGUGGCAAGCGUUGUCCGGAAUUAUUGGGCGUAAAGGGCUCGCAGGCGGUUUCUUAAGUCUGAUGUGAAAGCCCCCGGCUCAACCGGGGAGGGUCAUUGGAAACUGGGAAACUUGAGUGCAGAAGAGGAGAGUGGAAUUCCACGUGUAGCGGUGAAAUGCGUAGAGAUGUGGAGGAACACCAGUGGCGAAGGCGACUCUCAGGUCUGUAACUGACGCUGAGGAGCGAAAGCGUGGGGAGCGAACAGGAUUAGAUACCCGGGUAGUCCCUGUCUCUUAUAC